CGGAGGGUGCAAGCGUUAUCCGGAUUCACUGGGUUUAAAGGGUGCGUAGGCGGAUAGGUAAGUCCGUGGUGAAAUCCUGCAGCUUAACUGCAGAACUGCCACAGAUACUAUUUAUCUUGAAUGUCGUGGAGGUUAGCAGAAUAUGUCAUGUAGCGGUGAAAUGCUUAGAUAUGACAUAGAAUACCCAUUGCGAAGGCAGCUAACUACGCGAUAAUUGACGCUGAUGCACGAAAGCGUGGGGAUCAAACAGGAUUAGAUACCCUGGUAGUCCACGCCCUAAACGAUGAUUACUCGACAUUGGCGAUACACAGUCAGUGUCUGAGCGAAAGCAUUAAGUAAUCCACCUGGGAAGUACGAUCGCAAGAUUG
rnacentral:rRNA from 1 species